rnacentral:piRNA from 1 species
GGUGGUAUUGGGACUGUUCCUGUGG